CUGGUGUCUCAGCUCACAUGGGUGAAUGCACUGUAUGCAGGUAGUUGCCACCUGCGCUUCACUAACACACUGGCUUGGAAUCAUACUGUUUCUCACGGUUCUCUUCUGAAAUCUAACUUUCCCUCUAAAAACCAUUCUGUGCUGGGCUUUCCUGCCUCUCUCAAGGCAAACGUCAAAGAGUAAUGUGGAGUUUGGUCUGAGCUUCACCCUGCAACCAUCCUGCUGUCUCCCAAUUUGGCUACUGAUUCCAUGUGUCCUCUCUGUCACACCACAGAUUGGAAAUCACUCAGGUGGGAGCAUCACAGAAGUCUGGCCAGGGUGGCCAGUGAAGGCAGUCAUGUCGCACUCCCUCACACAGAUGCUGGGGCCAGCAUUCCAGAGCAAACAACCCUUCUGUGCUCGCUCCUUCUCAAGUGCCACCAGGGCCUCCACCUUUGCCCAACAGGUGGAAUGGGUGAUGGGAAGGUUUGUCUCCUCCCUCCUCGGCUCCUGGCUGGAGAUGCACACCCAGGAGGACCUCCCAGCCCCCUGUCCUCUCAACCCGCUAUAGACCCCAAGCCUGCUGAGCAAGAGCAGGGCUGAGAAGCCUGGGGUAGGUGCUGUGGGCCUGCAGGAGGAGGACGGGGCUGAACAGGUAGAAAGAACUCCCAGGUGUGGUGUACGCCCAGGAGCCUCAAGAGACCCAGCAGUCAAGAGGUGGUUGUGGUCAGGGGUACCUUCCUGGGAUGGGCUGGUGGACAGAGUUGUCUCAAGGCAGGAAUAUGGACAGUCACUGAUCUUUUCUCCUCUUCUGGCUGCAAGGCUCAAGUCCCACAUGCAGAGCCUGCGCCAGCUCUACCUGCAGCUUCCUCACCAGCUCUAGCACUGAAGUGAUCUCGCCAGCUGCAGGAACUGCUUCUCCACCAGCUCCAGACCUGAGGCCCUUGUGCUUGUGCAGCAGGUGUCACCUCCUGACCUCCAUCCAUCUGUGGCCCACUCCUGCCCAACACCCACCCUUCUUCCCCCCACCUGUGCCACUUACUGCUGUGUUUACUCAUACCCUUACUUCCCAGUGUUCUACACAUAUGUAAAUACAUUGCUUUUUA
rnacentral:lncRNA from 1 species